CAAUGGGCACGAGGCAGGGAACAACCCAGGACGGGUGACCAGCCCAUCACAGGGCACACUCACACACCAUUCACUGACACAUGCACACCUACGGGCAAUUUAGCAAGUCCAAUUAGCCUCAGCAUGUUUUCGGACUGGGGAGAAACCGGAGUACCCGGAGGAAACCCCACGACAACAUGAGGAGAACAUGCAAACUCCACACACAAGUGACGCAGGCGGAGACGCGAACCCGGGUCCCAGAGGUGUGAGCUCUCCAGAACUUCAUGAAAAGCAAGCCAAAGCUCAGCCUUUUUCUAAAGUCAAAUUUCCUUCCUCGAUUUUGCUCUUGACAUUUCUUGUUCCUGUAGUUUUCCGGAAAUGCGCAGUAGAAUGGCAGUGCUUUGCUGCAGCUCAUUGGGACCCAGGAUCCACUUUCUAAAACAGAAAUAAACAGAUGAGAA